rnacentral:rRNA from 1 species
GACGAACGCUGGCGGCGUGCUUAACACAUGCAAGUCGAACGAAGUGGCGAACGGGUGAGUAACGCGUAAUCAACCUGCUCUUCAGAGGGGGACAACAGUUGGAAACGACUGCUAUUACCGCAUACUGAAGGAGGGGAUUGUGUCGGAAUAGCUAGUUGGAGGGGUAACGGCCCACCAAGGUGAUGAUCAGUAGCCGGUCUUGGAGGAUGAACGGCCACAUUGGGACUGAGGCACGGCCCAGACUCCUACGGGAGGCAGCAGUGGGGAAUCUUUCGCAAUGGACGAAAGUCUGACGGAGCAAAGCCGCGUUAGUGAUGACGGCCUUCGGGUUGUAAAGCUCUGUUAAUCGGGACGCGGUACCGGAAUAGAAAGCCACGGCUAACUACGUGCCAGCAGCCGCGGUAAUUC